rnacentral:tRNA from 1 species
GUUGUCGUGGCCGAGUGGUUAAGGUGAUGGACUAGAAAUCCAUUUUGGUUUCUCUGCACACGUUCAAAUCCUGCCAAUAAUG